AGCACUGAGGGUCUCCCUGGUUCUUUGCCAAACUGACCAUAUGCACAGAUAGCCCAGCUUUCGCGUUUGUGUUCACCUGCUCUCGUGUUGCCUCUCUCUGUAUCCGUCUGGUAUCGCCGUCCCUGCCACCGGUUUCGUGUCGCCGAUGUUCCACCUCGUCAUGGCUGCAGAGUGCAGACCGUAAGGUGCUUCUAGGUUAUGGUGCUUAUGUUUCCAAGUUACUUAGUGCAUGUAGGACUCAUGGGGUUCUUCCUUUAAUUUCUACGACUUGUUGUGCACCAGAACUGGUGAAGCGCCACCGGACUUUGAUGUCCACCGUUGCUGGUGAUGUGGUGAUUUCUGUGGUCUAGCCGUCGUUGUUGGAUGUGCGCAUAUUCCCCAGGAUCCGAUGACUGUUGUGAUGCUUUUCCUUGUGUAUGGGGUAGUGGUAGGAUUUUUGUUGUAACAAGUACAUUUUUAGUUAUUUAAAUGUACCCAAGAUUAAAAGAAUUUUAGAAAUAAAACCAUAGGUCCAAAAAUCAUAGAAAAUUGUGAGAAAUUUAUAUACCUUUAGAAUAGCUCCUGGUCAAAGUUUGAACCUGUUUGGAAUUGAUUUGACCAGAGAACCUUGAAAUAGCUAAAUAAAGAAGUUUCAAUUAAUAAAACUUGAUGUUAAUAUAUGUUUACCUCAAAUUGGAAUUCUAUAAAUUGAAGAACAACAAGUUUGGUAAUUUUAGUAUGUUUAUUUCUCUGUUUGGUCUAAGUAAAUUCACUUUGGGGCACUUUUAGCAAAACUUGGUAGUAUAGAAGAGUGGAUACUCUUAGCAUAUGUUUGCUUUGAGAACUUUAUGUUUCUUCUCCUCUCCCUUGUCAAAGUUGCAUUUCAUAACAUUUCAUAAGCAUCCAUAUACUUGUAAUUGACUUGUAGAGCAUCUAGAAGAAGAAAUAAAAGUGAAAGUGGAAGAGGAGCCAGCUCCUCAAUCUAAAGUUCCUUCAACUGAAAGUGUUCUUGAAGGUCUUUCCGAAGGUGCUCCAGUAGGGUUUGCUGCUAACUGCAAUAUCCUAGUCGAAGAGCCUGACUCUCCUCCUCACCAAGGCAAGCCC
rnacentral:lncRNA from 1 species